UAGUCACACUCUGCUGGCUAGUGAACUAAGGUCCGUGCACUCGGGACACUCCCUACAGAACUCAGGCCUCUGCAAUGGGUGGUGUGUGUGUGUGUGUGUGUGUGUGUGUGUGUGUGUGUGUGUGUCUGCACAGGAGCCCCGCACAGGAACCCAUGCACAGGAACCCCGUGUACUGCAGCACCCGGGAAGAACACAUCUGCAUUGUUCACCUGCUUUAUAGUAAAACCUGGCCGGAACCUGGAUUUGAAGCCCUGCCUUCUGAACUCAGCAGCACCGCCUGGCUGUGAGACCUAGGUGGCUCGCAUCCCUCCUCUGUCAUUUACUGAGCCACAAGCCUGAUCGUCAUCUGUAGAAGAGAAAGGACAACGGCAGGGUCUGCCACCUUUUGCCUGUCUCCCGGCAUAUGGCAGAUGCCCAACAAGAGUCGGCUGGUACUUCUUGAUAGCCAACUGAGCUGGGGAUGGAACUUAGGACCUUGUGUGUGUUGGCUGGCCCUCACGUCUACGGGUUCCAUGUGUAUGGGUCCAGACAAACGCUAACAGAAGAGACCACGCAGUCUGCUGCUCACACGCAGUCCCCGUGUGUCAUAGUUUCCUGACCAAUGCAGCCGAACAAUCAGAUUCAGCAUUUGCACCGUAUUAGGCAUCUUAAGUGGAGACAUUGCGAAGCACAUGGGAGGAGAAGCGGAGGCUAAAUGUAAACCUGGUCCGCACAUCUGCAGCUGGAACAUCUGCGGGGGAAGGGGGUGGUCCUGGAGACAAUAGCACAGAUGCUGGGGAUGGCUGUAAACCCGGCCACACAAACCAACAACAUAGACACCAGUUUCUCCUUUCCCCAUCACGAACACCCAAUCCAUCCAGAAGUCCCGUCCACUCUUCCUUCAGAUGUAGUCCCAAUCGGCGCACGCCUCAUCACCUCGGCUGACGAAACUCAAAGGGAACUUACUGUGCCUGUCUUUUGUCAGGGCCAAAAGAGGCUCCCAACGGGCUCGCCUCUGUUCUUGUCCUCCACGCAGUAGCCAGAACCACCCUCUGUACUUUAAACCCCAGUGGCUCCCCAGUGUUAGUGCGGGAUCACUCAAACUCCCCGUGAUGGCUUGGCCUGCCGGUCUCCUUCAGCGUCACAGGUCAGGUCCCUUUCUGACCCUCAAAUGCACCCAGCACCUUGCUGCUUCUGUAUCCUCAAAUAUGUUAUUGCUUCUCACAGAUCUCCACCUAUCAGGGACCUUGACCGAUGGCGCAAACCGGUCAUGUAUACCUUGUCUCCAAGAACUUUUGCAAACAAAAACAAGCAAAAAACCCCCAACUGAGAGCUGUUGCAUAAAAUAUGCUCUUUGUUCCUACCAUGGCAAAUCCUUCCUAAUGACAAAGUGGAAAAGUCUGUGCUAAACGUAUUUAGUAAAAUAGAACAACUGAAUUCAAUUAUUACUGCGUAUGUCUGAGCGCUCUGGGUUUUUGUCAGUGAAAACCAAAUGAAUAAUAAAAUGGGGGCUUGCAUUAUUUAUACCAUAGCAUAAGUUCAUUGUGCGGAAGCACUUUUAUUUAAGGGAAAUCAAGAAUACGAGCACCAUCAAAUCAUUCAUAUUCUCCUAAGGUGGGUUAGAAAGAAGUUUUUAAAACGUUCUUGUCUCAGUGGGUACAGAAUUUAUGUACCCUGUCACUGAAAACAUAAUGAACGCAAGUUCGAAGUCAAAAUGACUUCAUGUGUGCUUUCAAAAAAGUUACUUUUCUCAAGUAUUCAAAAUUAUUUAUAAUGACAUCAACGCAUAUUCAAAUGAGUUGUUUGAAAUUUUACAAAAAUUAUUUAAGUAGUUGUUGAAAAAACUAUUUGGAAUUCAACUAAAUUAUGUAAAAUAAUAAAUAAUAAAUAAAAUAAAAAACAUU